rnacentral:snRNA from 1 species
GUGCCCCCCUCCACAGCACAUAUUCUAAAAUUGGAAGAUACAGAGAAGAUGAGCAUGGCCCCCACAUAGGGGUCAUACACAAAUUUGUGAAGCAUUCCAUAUUUUC